rnacentral:rRNA from 1 species
CCUACGGGUGGCAGCAGUGAGGAAUAUUGGUCAAUGGGCGCGAGCCUGAACCAGCCAAGUCGCGUGAAGGAUGACUGCCCUACGGGUUGUAAACUUCUUUUAUAAAGGAGUAAAGUGAGGCACGUGUGCCUUUUUGUACGUACCUUAUGAAUAAGGAUCGGCUAACUCCGUGCCAGCAGCCGCGGUAAUACGGAGGAUCCGAGCGUUAUCCGGAUUUAUUGGGUUUAAAGGGUGCGUAGAUGGGUUGUUAAGUCAGUUGUGAAAGUUUGCGGCUCAACCGUAAAAUUGCAAUUGAUACUGGCAGGCUUGAGUGCAGUAGAGGUAGGCGGAAUUCGUGGUGUAGCGGUGAAAUGCUUAGAUAUCACGAAGAACACCGAUUGCGAAGGCAGCUUACUAAGCUGCCACUGACGUUGAGGCACGAAAGUGUGGGUAUCAAACAGGAUUAGAUACCCUGGUAGUC